AGGUUUUCGGAUCGUAAAACUCUGUUGUUAGGGAAGAACAAGUAYCGUUCGAAUAGGGCGGUACCUUGACGGUACCUAACCAGAAAGCCACGGCUAACUACGUGCCAGCAGCCGCGGUAAUACGUAGGUGGCAAGCGUUGUCCGGAAUUAUUGGGCGUAAAGCGCGCGCAGGCGGUUUCUUAAGUCUGAUGUGAAAGCCCACGGCUCAACCGUGGAGGGUCAUUGGAAACUGGGAGACUUGAGUGCAGAAGAGGAGAGUGGAAUUCCACGUGUAGCGGUGAAAUGCGUAGAGAUGUGGAGGAACACCAGUGGCGAAGGCGACUCUCUGGUCUGUAACUGACGCUGAGGCGCGAAAGCGUGGGGAGCGAACAGGAUUAGAUACCCUGGUAGUCCACGCCGUAAACGAUGAGUGCUAAGUGUUAGAGGGUUUCCGCCCUUUAGUGCUGCAGCUAACGCAUUAAGCACUCCGCCUGGGGAGUACGGCCGCAAGGCUGAAACUCAAAGGAAUUGACGGGGGCCCGCACAAGCGGUGGAGCAUGUGGUUUAAUUCGAAGCAACGCGAAGAACCUUACCAGGUCUUGACAUCCUCUGACAACCCUAGAGAUAGGGCGUUCCCCUUCGGGGGACAGAGUGACAGGUGGUGCAUGGUUGUC
rnacentral:rRNA from 1 species